rnacentral:lncRNA from 1 species
GUCCAUCCAGUAGGAUGUAGUAGUGUGUCACACUCUAGCAGCACAGUCCAUCCAGUAGGUAGUAGUAGUGUCACACUCUAGCAGCACAGUCCAUCCAGUAGGUAGUAAUAGUGUCACACUCUAGCAGCACAGUCCAUCCAGUAGGUAGUAGUAGUGUCACACUCUAGCAGCACAGUCCAUCCAGUAGGUAGUAGUAGUAGUGUCACACUCUAGCAGCACAGUCCAUCCAGUAGGUAGUAGUAGUAGUGUAUCACUCUAGCAGCACAGUCCAUCCAGUAGGUAGUAAUAGUGUCACACUCUAGCAGCACAGUCCAUCCAGUAGGUACUAGUAGUGUAUCACUCUAGCAGCACAGUCCAUCCAGUAGGUAGUAGUAGUGUGUCACACUCUAGCAGCACAGUCCAUCCAGUAGGAUGUAGUAGUGUGUCACACUCUAGCAGCACAGUCCAUCCAGUAGGUAGUAGUAGUAGUGUCACAUUCUAGCAGCACAGUCCAUCCAGUAGGAUGUAGUAGUGUGUCACACUCUAGCAGCACAGUCCAUCCAGUAG